rnacentral:rRNA from 1 species
AUUGAACGUUGGCGGCAUGCUUUACACAUGCAAGUCGAACGGCAGCGGGGGCUUCGGCCUGCCGGCGAGUGGCGAACGGGUGAGUAAUGCAUCGGAACGUGCCCAUGUCUGGGGGAUAACGUAGCGAAAGCUACGCUAAUACCGCAUACGUCCUGAGGGAGAAAGCGGGGGAUCUUUGGACCUCGCGCGAUUGGAGCGGCCGAUGUCGGAUUAGCUAGUAGGUGAGGUAAAGGCUCACCUAGGCGACGAUCCGUAGCGGGUCUGAGAGGAUGAUCCGCCACACUGGGACUGAGACACGGCCCAGACUCCUACGGGAGGCAGCAGUGGGGAAUUUUGGACAAUGGGGGCAACCCUGAUCCAGCCAUGCCGCGUGAGUGAAGAAGGCCUUCGGGUUGUAAAGCUCUUUCGGCCGGGAAGAAAUCGUGGUCUCUAACAUAGGCCAUGGAUGACGGUACCGGACUAAGAAGCACCGGCUAACUACGUCG